GGCCGUAGCUCAGUGGAAGAGCAUCUGCUUUGCAUGCAGAAGGUCCCAGGUUCAAUCCCUGGCAGCGCCU